GUAAGAUGAAAAACGGGGAAAGAUAAAAAGAAAUUAAUAAGGCCGAAUACCAGGGAGUUAUUUUAAUGCUGGUAAUAUCGUUGUGAACCAUGUCGUAGGCUACAUUUACUUUGAAUAUCUUGUCGGGUAGUAUAGAAUUCAGAGUGAUGACAGACGAAUUUGCAUACUUCUAGGAUGUAUAAGCAAGAGAGAUGAAGAGGUUUCCGCGUGAUGAUGGAGCAGUAGCAGCGACACUCACGGUAGCGGCAGCAGGCGACGUCGUGUCCGUCCAUGCGGGCGGGAGGCGCAGCACUGCGGCUGUGAAUGACUCACACACUGUUUGGCGAACGACGCGACGCAUGCACACUAAUUUUCGCACCCCUCUCGAUAUUUAUAUGGGUUUGUUGUGAAUGAGAUCAUAGUGACACAGGUUUUAUGUAUUUAUAAUACGGGCUUCACAAUUAUGUACGAAUAUCUUGAAGUAGGUAACUUGUUUGUAAAUGUAUAUUUUUUAACAAAAUAAAUGUGCACGCGUGCACUCCUCGGUGGCACACAAUGACUACUUAAUAUACAACA